rnacentral:rRNA from 1 species
UACAGAGGGGGCAAGCGUUGUUCGGAAUUACUGGGCGUAAAGGGCGCGUAGGCGGCCUGUUAAGUCGAACGUGAAAUCCCCGGGCUCAACCCGGGAACUGCGUCCGAUACUGGUAGGCUUGAAUCCGGGAGAGGGAUGCGGAAUUCCAGGUGUAGCGGUGAAAUGCGUAGAUAUCUGGAGGAACACCGGUGGCGAAGGCGGUUCUCUGGGCCUUACCUGACGCUGAGGAGCGAAAGCGUGGGGAGCGAACAGG